rnacentral:rRNA from 1 species
AUUGAACGCUGGCGGCAGGCCUAACACAUGCAAGUCGAACGAGUGGCGGACGGGUGAGUAAUGUCUGGGAAACUGCCUGAUGGAGGGGGAUAACUACUGGAAACGGUAGCUAAUACCGCAUACCAUCAGAUGUGCCCAGAUGGGAUUGGCUAGUUGGGGGGGUAACGGCUCACCAGGGCGACGAUCCCUAGCUGGUCGGAGAGGAGGACCAGCCACACUGGAACUGAGACACGGUCCAGAUUCCUACGGGAGGAAGCAGUGGGGAACAUUGCACAAUGGGCGCAAGCCUGAUGCAGCCAGGCCGCGUGUAUGAAGCAGGCCUUCGGGUUGUAAAGUACUUUCAGCGGGGAGGCGUUACCCGCAGAAGAAGCACCGGCUAACUACGUGCCAGCAGCCGCGGUAAUAC